CGGGGUGCACCAGGCGCGAAAACUUUACAAUGCGGGAAACCGUGAUAAGGGGACACCGAGUGCCAGCAUCAUAUGCUGGCUGUCCGGGUGUGUAAAAUACACCCGUUAGCAAGGGCCGGGCAAGACCGGUGCCAGCCGCCGCGGUAACACCGGCGGCCCGAGUGGUGAUCGUGAUUAUUGGGUCUAAAGGGUCCGUAGCCGGUUUGGUCAGUCCUCCGGGAAAUCUGACGGCUCAACCGUUAGGCUUUCGGGGGAUACUGCCAGGCUUGGAACCGGGAGAGGUAAGAGGUACUACAGGGGUAGGAGUGAAAUCUUGUAAUCCCUGUGAGACCACCUGUGGCGAAGGCGCCUUACCAGAACGGGUUCGACGGUGAGGGACGAAAGCUGGGGGCACGAACCGGAUUAGAUACCCGGGUAGUCCCAGCCGUAAACGAUGCUCGCUAGGUGUCAGGCAUGGCGCGACCGUGUCUGGUGCCGCAGGGAAGCCGUGAAGCGAGCCACCUGGGAAGUACGGCCGCAAGGCUGAAACUUAAAGGAAUUGGCGGGGGAG
rnacentral:rRNA from 1 species